CAAGAUUUGAAGUAUGGCCAUACCUAGAGACUUAUGCCGAGGAUGUUGCAAAUGAGGUAGCAGGCGAGUUGCAGGCCACCCCGGAUCUCAUAAUUGGAAACUAUAGUGAUGGAAAUCUAGUAGCGUCUUUGAUGGCGCAUAAGUUAGGAGUUACUCAGUGCACCAUCGCACAUGCAUUGGAGAAAACAAAGUAUCCAAAUUCAGAUUUAUACUGGAAAAAAUUUGAGAACCAGUAUCACUUCUCCUGCCAAUUCACUGCUGAUCUAAUUGCCAUGAACCAUGCCGAUUUCAUUAUCACUAGCACCUUCCAGGAGAUUGCUGGAAGUAAGGACACUGUGGGGCAGUACGAGUCUCAUACUGCAUUCACUCUACCGGGACUCUAUCGUGUCGUUCAUGGGAUUGACGUCUUCGACCCAAAAUUCAACAUUGUCUCUCCAGGAGCUGACAUGUCCAUCUACUUCCCAUAUACAGAGGUGGAGAAAAGACUCACUACCCUUCAUCCAGAAAUUGAUGAGCUGCUUUACAGUUCAGCAGAAAGCACUGAAUACAAAUUUGGGUUAAAAGACAAGACGAAACCAAUUAUAUUCUCCAUGGCAAGACUGGACCGUGUGAAGAACAUAACCGGCCUGGUCGAACUAUACGGAAAAAAUAACCGUCUGAAGGAACUUGUUAACCUUGUGAUAGUGGCUGGAGACCAUGCUAAGGUAUCCAAGGAUCUUGAGGAACAAGCAGAGCUGAAGAAAAUGUAUGAUCUCAUUGAAGAAUACAAACUGGACGGACAUAUUCGAUGGAUAUCUGCCCAGAUGAACCGUGUCCGCAAUGGUGAGCUGUAUCGCUACAUUGCAGAUUGCAAAGGUGCAUUUGUACAGCCUGCAUUCUACGAAGCUUUCGGACUUACUGUUGUGGAGUCCAUGACUUGUGGUCUACCCACAUUUGCUACUUUGCACGGAGGACCUGGGGAGAUCAUAGUGGACGGUGUCUCCGGCUUCCACAUCGAUCCCUAUCAGGGUGAUAAAGCUUCUGAGUUACUUGCUGAUUUCUUUGAAAAAUGUAAGGAAGAUGGGACACAUUGGGAUAAGAUCUCACAAGGAGGGCUGCAACGAAUCUACGAGAAGUACACUUGGAAGCUUUAUUCUGAGAGGUUGAUGACUCUGGCUGGUGUCUAUGGUUUCUGGAAAUAUGUCUCUAAUCUAGAUAGGCUUGAGACAAAGCGCUACCUUGAGAUGUUCUAUGCCCUCAAGUAUCGCAAAUUGGCGCAAUCGGUACCCUUGGCUGUUGACGGAGAGUUCGCUGUCAAUGGAUCGGCAACCUUAGCUGUUGACGGAGAGACUGUUGUCAACGGAACUAAGUAGUUUUCGCAACUGAUUGAAGGUUGAGUUUUAUGUUUCAAAUAAGGGUCUCAGAUGGUAGUGUCUGGUGGCUUUUCUUAUUGUUCCAUUUGAUGUUUGAGCUGGUUUUGUAGUAAACUGUGUUGUGGUCGGUUUCGGAAUGUAAUGCGAUUUUUAAGAUUUGAAUUUCAAGUUUUC
rnacentral:misc_RNA from 1 species